CACCUAUGCACCUUUCUCUUUUUUUGACCCUAAUCUCUAUCAAGCAAAAUUGGUCUUUCCAACCCUGAUGUAUGACCAACUUUAUGAAAGAUCCACUCACACAAUCUAACUAAACCCUAAACCAUAUAUACUUUUUUUUAGAAUUACAUGGUACAAUGCAAACGUCCAAACAUGUCACACACUCACCUCUAUGAACACACGUACAACUAAUCCUGCCCCUAUGAGCACCUUCGAUACCACUAAAAACAUAUCAUCGAUAAAUCCUGAAAUAAAUCCAAAAAAUACAAAACACUUGUGUCAAGUCGAGGACUUAAAUCCGAGUGGGCAGGUUUCACCGCAAGGAACCGAACCAACUAAUCUAUGAUCACUUCACCAAUACUCCCUCCAUUUUAAAUUGUAAGUCAUUCCAAGAAUGUUGGAG
rnacentral:lncRNA from 1 species